rnacentral:lncRNA from 13 species
AUGCAGUUCAGCCAUCCACUCAGAAGUCUUCCCUGACCAUUCUCCACUGUCAUCAACACCAAAUGUUUACUUAGUGUCUGUUACAUGCCAGUCCCUGUUCUCGGUACUUGGGAUUCACCAGUAUACAAUGAAGACAAAAAUCCCUGCCCUGGAGCAUCUUACAUUCUAGCACGGGAAACAGGCUACAAACAGUCUGGCUGCUGGGUUGAGAAGAGAACGUGGUGGAAAUACAUAGAAACAUGAAAACCUGAUAGGGCUAAUGCAAUAACUCAGAGAAGAGGUGAUGGCAGCUUGGACCUGUUGGUAGCAAUAGAGUGGUUACCAGAAAAUUUAAAGUUACACAAAUGGCUCGCAUUCUAUUGCUGAAAGAAAAGACAAAGCGGUGAAGAGCUUAGUGUUGGGUUAGCAAGACACGCCCCCAAUGUUAGCUAAAGAUGUAAGGCAUCAACCAGAAAUGUUGUGGGGGCUCAGGAGAGGGGAAGGUGGGGUCAUCCACGGUCUGAGAAAGUCUUCAGUUGAAGGCGAGACAGACGGGUUUUAUUAGCGAGUUUCCAGAGAACUAACGUCUCGCUGGCUGCGCUGGGAAUGCCCCACCACCUUGGCCUCAUUUUCGCUCCGCGCCCCGCCCUUGAACGCGCGGCGCCUUUUGACCCCGCUGCCGCGCCGUAGACCGCGAUGCACGCCCGCGGCUGCCAUGGCGGAUGUGUCCGAAAGGACGCUGCAGUUGUCAGUGCUAGUAGCCUUCGCCUCUGGAGUACUCCUGGGCUGGCAGGCGAACCGUCUGCGGAGGCGCUACUUGGACUGGAGGAAACGGAGGCUGCAGGACAAGCUGGCGGCAACGCAGAAGAAGCUGGACCUGGCCUGACACUGCGCGCCUUCCGCCUCAUUCGAUCCCUCGCUUGGCCACCUUGCUAUGUCCGCGCAGGAGCUCCGGGCCGGCGGCGGCCAGAGCCAGGCUUGCCACAGAGUCCCCGUCUGCCGUGGCGGGCUCUUCCCGGAGUGUUGCUUGAUGAAAAUGGAUAUAGACUACUGGAAAGAAAUGACUUCUUGCACUUUAUGAAUCAAUUUUAUUUUUGA